GGCCCGAGCUGCACAGGCCAAGGAAUUCCACAGAGGGUGUGACCCAAAGCCCCUAACAACAGACUCGCUGGGACCCCCUAGACUUGGCAUGGAGGCUGGGUGCAGACCUAGAAGACAGAGGUGGUGAAGCCCGGCCAGUGAGGACAAGAGCUGCGGGGAAGGACACCGAGGUGACUUGACGGCAGCAGCAGGCCUGAAGGCUCUGGCUGCUUUGGAAGAUAUUUCAAUGAGAUGCAAAUCGCAAUCGACUGACCAUUAGUUUCCACUGCAGUGUUUGCAGAUGGAGUCGAAUGUAACCCCCCGGGAAUGGAGCCGGGAGGGUCAGAGAACGCGGCUGCGCUCUGGAUCUCCGAAGGGGGGCGGGGGCCUGGAAGAGGUCCGGGCCCAGAAUGGACCUCCAGGUCCCUGCUGCCGCAAUCUGGCCCUGCCCUCCAGCCUACCCCUUACUCCCAGAGGAAGGGACCCAGGGAGACCCACCCAGAUGCCCUGAAAGGAGGUGGAGGAUGGGGGUGGGGCAAUACGCAGAGUUUGUCUGGUGAAUGCAGGAAAGGGGUGGGGGCUGGAGAGGAAAAGGAUGGAGCAGCCGUCAGCUUGUCAACUCCGCAUCUGCUGGCUGCCUCGGCCGGGCUCCAGCCUGCGCCCUCGCCCCUCGGAACAGCGGUAUGUCCAUUCUCUCCGCAUUCGUCUCCAUCGUUCAGCCACCACCGCACCCUUUCUCUAUUCAUUUCUCCUGCUCCCUUGUCCUGCCCCGCCCCUCGUGCCCAGGUCCAUCGGUCUACACCCAUGGGCCGAGCCCUCCUCACCAGGGUCCUCCUGGAACCGCUCCGGCCUUGGGCUUGUCCGCGGCUCCCACGGUCCCCGCCCGGCGGGGCACAGAGCGGGAGGGGAGGGGCACUAGCACAACCUACCCUGCGCUGCGCAGCUGCACCCCUUCGCGCAUGGGCGUGGCGUAGCUCAGACCCGCCCCCAGCGUUUAGCGUCUUUUGUCACCCACCUAGAGGGUUUGAUAUAUCCUAAGCUUUUGGCCCCUGGGUCCUGGUUCCGUGCAGCGAGUCCUCCCAGCACCCCACCCUGCACAUUCUGGAAAGAGCCAGACUCUGGCUGGGCCGAGCAAGAACAGAACCACAAGAAGGUUACACGAUUAUUUAUUGAGAGCCUCCUCUCCCCGCCCUUGCAAUCUCUAGGUCACUUUCUCCGCUUGUAGAUUUUGCGCGCAAGCCCCAGAAAGACGGCUGGGGGCAGGGGUGCUGCGUACUGUUCAAUGAGAGCCAUAAUGUGGCUGUAACUGUCUUCCUCAUAUUGCAAGAACACUGCUGGCAGAUCCAGCUCCUCAUAUAGCGCCUUCACCCGGGCCACUUUCUCAGCCUCCUUCUGCCCGUAAUUUUCCUGGAAGAGGUUGAAAGACAGGAAAACGGGCUUGGCCUUCCCCAGAGCCUCCAGGACCCCUCCACUCCCCUCAUUCACAUAUUCCAGAACAUCUCCAAAGCCACCCACUCCUUUCCUCCCUCCAAUUUUCAAGUGUCUCUACGUAGCUAAAAUCCCAAGCUUCCCUUCCCUAUCCCAAAUAUUGCCUCAUACCAGGCAUCCUCUACUCCAGGGUUUCUCCACCUUGGCACUAUUGAAAUUUGGGACCAGAAAAAAAAAAAAAAAAAAAAAAAAAAAAAAAAAAA
rnacentral:lncRNA from 1 species